AGAGUUUGAUCAUGGCUCAGGAUGAACGCUAGCUACAGGCUUAACACAUGCAAGUCGAGGGGAAACGACAUCGAAAGCUUGCUUUUGAUGGGCGUCGACCGGCGCACGGGUGAGUAACGCGUAUCCAACCUGCCCAUCACUUGGGGAUAACCUUGCGAAAGUAAGACUAAUACCCAAUGACGUCUCUAGAAGACAUCUGAAAGAGAUUAAAGAUUUAUCGGUGAUGGAUGGGGAUGCGUCGUGAUUAGCUUGUUGGGCGGGGUAACGGCCACCAAGGCGACGAUCGAGUAGGGGUUCUGAGAGGAACGGUCCCCACAUUGGAACUGAGACACGGUCCAAACUCCUACGGGAGGCA
rnacentral:rRNA from 1 species